rnacentral:rRNA from 1 species
CACGGCGGGUGCUAACGUCCGUCGUGAAGAGGGAAACAACCCAGACCGCCAGCUAAGGUCCCAAAGUCAUGGUUAAGUGGGAAACGAUGUGGGAAGGCCCAGACAGCCAGGAUGUUGGCUUAGAAGCAGCCAUCAUUUAAAGAAAGCGUAAUAGCUCACUGGUCGAGUCGGCCUGCGCGGAAGAUGUAACGGGGCUAAACCAUGCACCGAAGCUGCGGCAGCGACGCUUAUGCGUUGUUGGGUAGGGGAGCGUUCUGUAAGCCUGUGAAGGUGUACUGUGAGGUAUGCUGGAGGUAUCAGAAGUGCGAAUGCUGACAUAAGUAACGAUAAAGCGGGUGAAAAGCCCGCUCGCCGGAAGACCAAGGGUUCCUGUCCAACGUUAAUCGGGGCAGGGUGAGUCGACCCCUAAGGCGAGGCCGAAAGGCGUAGUCGAUGGGAAACAGGUUAAUAUUCCUGUACUUGGUGUUACUGCGAAGGGGGGACGGAGAAGGCUAUGUUGGCCGGGCGACGGUUGUCCCGGUUUAAGCGUGUAGGCUGGUUUUCCAGGCAAAUCCGGAAAAUCAAGGCUGAGGCGUGAUGACGAGGCACUACGGUGCUGAAGCAACAAAUGCCCUGCUUCCAGGAAAAGCCUCUAAGCAUCAGGUAACAUCAAAUCGUACCCCAAACCGACACAGGUGGUCAGGUAGAGAAUACCAAGGCGCUUGAGAGAACUCGGGUGAAGGAACUAGGCAAAAUGGUGCCGUAACUUCGGGAGAAGGCACGCUGAUAUGUAGGUGAAGCGACUUGCUCGUGGAGCUGAAAUCAGUCGAAGAUACCAGCUGGCUGCAACUGUUUAUUAAAAACACAGCACUGUGCAAACACGAAAGUGGACGUAUACGGUGUGACGCCUGCCCGGUGC